rnacentral:tRNA from 1 species
GGUGCGUUGGCUGAGUGGUCGAAAGCGCCGCACUCGAAAUGCGGUAUGCCAGCAAUGGUAUCUAGGGUUCGAAUCCCUAACGCACCU